rnacentral:ncRNA from 1 species
UAACUGGCUUGCAGCAGCUAAGCAUUCAUACAGUUACACUGUUUGAUUCUUUGAUGUUGGCUCUUUCUAUUGUUGUGAAGCAGAAUUUACAUCAUUGGAUUGUUCAUCCACUAAUAGGGAAUGUGAACUGAGAUUAGACCAUCAUGAGAAAGGUU